UGCGUAGGUGGGUUGGUAAGUCAGUGGUGAAAUCUCCGAGCUUAACUCGGAAACUGCCAUUGAUACUAUCAAUCUUGAAUCAUCUGGAGGUAAGCGGAAUAUGUCAUGUAGCGGUGAAAUGCUUAGAUAUGACAUAGAACACCAAUUGCGAAGGCAGCUUACUACGGGUGUAUUGACACUGAGGCACGAAAGCGUGGGGAUUAAACA
rnacentral:rRNA from 1 species